GGUGAGGUAUGGCAAGGUAAGAAAAGGGAAGAUUGGGUAAGUUAGGGAAGGUGAGGUAUAGCAAGGUAAGAAAAGGGAAGAUUGGGUAAGUUAGGGAAGGUGAGGUAUAGCAAGGUAAGAAAAGGGAAGAUUAGGUGAGUUUUUCUUCGUUUUUCAUCCUUCUAGCUAUGUGUUUUGUAGUGAAGGUAUGUAAUUAGGAAAGGCGAGGUAUAGCAAGGUAAGAAAAGGGAAGAUUGGGUAAGUUAGGGAAGGUGAGGUAUAGCAAGGUAAGAAAAGGGAAGAUUAGGUAAGUUAGGGAAGGUGAGGUAUAGCAAGGUAAGAAAAGGGAAGAUUGGGUAAGUUAGGGAAGGUGAGGUAUAGCAAGGUAAGAAAAGGGAAGAUUGGGUAAGUUAGGGAAGGUGAGGUAUAGCAAGGUAAGAAAAGGG